rnacentral:misc_RNA from 1 species
UCUCCGGAUUUGCUUUGGGAAGCUGGCAACGGCCUCCUAUUGCUGAGAAGCUGAUCAAACUUGGUCAUUUAGAGGAAGUAAAAGUCGUAACAAGGUUUCCGUAGGUGAACCUGCGGAAGGAUCAUUAGUGAACUAAACAUGCUUGGUGUCUUCGCUUCGGCAAGGCCCUUGCUUAACUCACAUCCCAACACCUGUGAACUGUAAGGCGCAUGACUAGGUUCGCCCAAGUCAUCGUCUGCCCUUUUUAACAAACAAUUAAUGUAACAAACGUAGUCUUAUUAUAACCUAAUAAAACUUUCAACAACGGAUCUCUUGGCUCUCGC